GAUGAACGCUAGCGGCAGGCUUAAUACAUGCAAGUCGAGGGGCAGCAUGAUUGUAGCAAUACAAUUGAUGGCGACCGGCAAACGGGUGCGGAACACGUACACAACCUUCCAACAAGUGGGGGAUAGCCCAGAGAAAUUUGGAUUAAUACCCCGUAACAUAGCGAUGUGGCAUCACAUUGCUAUUAUAGAUUUUUCGCUUGUUGACGGGUGUGCGGCUGAUUAGAUAGUUGGCGGGGUAACGGCCCACCAAGUCUACGAUCAGUAGCUGAUGUGAGAGCAUGAUCAGCCACACGGGCACUGAGACACGGGCCCGACUCCUACGGGAGGCAGCAGUAAGGAAUAUUGGACAAUGGACGCAAGUCUGAUCCAGCCAUGCCGCGUGAAGGAUUAAGGUCCUCUGGAUUGUAACUUCUUUUAUAAGGGACGAAAAAAGGCUUUUCUAAGUCGUCUGACGGUACCUUAUGAAUAAGCACCGGCUAACUCCGUGCCAGCCGCCGCGGUAAAAC
rnacentral:rRNA from 1 species